rnacentral:rRNA from 1 species
GAUGAACGCUGGCGGCGUGCCUAAUACAUGCAAGUCGAGCGAACAGACGAGGAGCUUGCUCCUCUGAUGUUAGCGGCGGACGGGUGAGUAACACGUGGAUAACCUACCUAUAAGACUGGGAUAACUUCGGGAAACCGGAGCUAAUACCGGAUAACAUGUUGAACCGCAUGGUUCAACAGUGAAAGACGGUCUUGCUGUCACUUAUAGAUGGAUCCGCGCCGCAUUAGCUAGUUGGUAAGGUAUCGGCUUACCAAGGCAACGAUGCGUAGCCGACCUGAGAGGGUGAUCGGCCACACUGGAACUGAGACACGGUCCAGACUCCUACGGGAGGCAGCAGUAGGGAAUCUUCCGCAAUGGGCGAAAGCCUGACGGAGCAACGCCGCGUGAGUGAAGAAGGUCUUCGGAUCGUAAAACUCUGUUAUUAGGGAAGAACAAAUGUGUAAGUAACUAUGCACGUCUUGACGGUACCUAAUCAGAAAGCCACGGCUAACUACGUG